rnacentral:snoRNA from 1 species
GCCUGGGUUUGGAUUCAUGGCAGGCCUGUCUCCCUGGGCCUCUCGCAGUGUCCUGUGCCAGAGCAGACUGUGGCUCUGAACCACUGCCUGGCCUCUGCCUGUAGACUGCUGGCACUGACGUGGGUUGCACAGUG